rnacentral:lncRNA from 1 species
AUAAACUUAGUCUGGCUUAUUAAACAUCCUACAUAUACUAGGGUCUUACUUAUGUCCCGUCUAAUACACUCAUGAAUUCCCAAAAUAUAGAAGUCUUUAUCUUAAAGCUGCUGAGGUAUCACUAUUUCUAUUUUUAUCAAAUCUUAUUACCCAUAAUCCCUAAUUUAUUAAACCUCUAAUUACUGACUAUCCUCAUUUAAAUCAUAUUAAUUUAUACCCUUCACGUUUCUGUAAUUGAUUCUUUUCUUAAUAUCCAAACAAUAACAGGACUAGAUCCAUCCUUACUUAUCUAUUUCAUUAGUAUUAUAUCAAUUCAAUAAUUGGACAAU